GCUGAUGCGUUGUUGGGUAGGGGAGCGUUCUGUAAGCCUGCGAAGGUGACCUGUGAGGGUUGCUGGAGGUAUCAGAAGUGCGAAUGCUGACAUAAGUAACGAUAAAGCGGGUGAAAAGCCCGCUCGCCGGAAGACCAAGGGUUCCUGUCCAACGUUAAUCGGGGCAGGGUGAGUCGACCCCUAAGGCGAGGCCGAAAGGCGUAGUCGAUGGGAAACGGGUUAAUAUUCCCGUACUUGGUGUUACUGCGAAGGGGGGACGGAGAAGGCUAUGUUGGCCGGGCGACGGUUGUCCCGGUUUAAGCGUGUAGGUGUGUGUUCCAGGUAAAUCCGGUUCACUUUAACACUGAGGCGUGAUGACGAGGCACUACGGUGCUGAAGCAACAAAUGCCCUGCUUCCAGGAAAAGCCUCUAAGCAUCAGGUAACAUCAAAUCGUACCCCAAACCGACACAGGUGGUCAGGUAGAGAAUACCAAGGCGCUUGAGAGAACUCGGGUGAAGGAACUAGGCAAAAUGGUGCCGUAACUUCGGGAGAAGGCACGCUGACACGUAGGUGAAGUGAUUUACUCACGGAGCUGAAGUCAGUCGAAGAUACCAGCUGGCUGCAACUGUUUAUUAAAAACACAGCACUGUGCAAACACGAAAGUGGACGUAUACGGUGUGACGCCUGCCCGGUGCCGGAAGGUUAAUUGAUGGGGUCAGCGCAAGCGAAGCUCCUGAUCGAAGCCCCGGUAAACGGCGGCCGUAACUAUAACGGUCCUAAGGUAGCGAAAUUCCUUGUCGGGUAAGUUCCGACCUGCACGAAUGGCGUAAUGAUGGCCAGGCUGUCUCCACCCGAGACUCAGUGAAAUUGAACUCGCUGUGAAGAUGCAGUGUACCCGCGGCAAGACGGAAAGACCCCGUGAACCUUUACUAUAGCUUGACACUGAACAUUGAGCCUUGAUGUGUAGGAUAGGUGGGAGGCUUUGAAGUGUGGACGCCAGUCUGCAUGGAGCCGACCUUGAAAUACCACCCUUUAAUGUUUGAUGUUCUAACGUGGACCCGUAAUCCGGGUUGCGGACAGUGUCUGGUGGGUAGUUUGACUGGGGCGGUCUCCUCCUAAAGAGUAACGGAGGAGCACGAAGGUUGGCUAAUCCUGGUCGGACAUCAGGAGGUUAGUGCAAUGGCAUAAGCCAGCUUGACUGCGAGCGUGACGGCGCGAGCAGGUGCGAAAGCAGGUCAUAGUGAUCCGGUGGUUCUGAAUGGAAGGGCCAUCGCUCAACGGAUAAAAGGUACUCCGGGGAUAACAGGCUGAUACCGCCCAAGAGUUCAUAUCGACGGCGGUGUUUGGCACCUCGAUGUCGGCUCAUCACAUCCUGGGGCUGAAGUAGGUCCCAAGGGUAUGGCUGUUCGCCAUUUAAAGUGGUACGCGAGCUGGGUUUAGAACGUCGUGAGACAGUUCGGUCCCUAUCUGCCGUGGGCGCUGGAGAACUGAGGGGGGCUGCUCCUAGUACGAGAGGACCG
rnacentral:rRNA from 1 species